GCGAACGCCGGCGGGAUGGACAGCGUCUCCAGCCGGAUGGAUGGACUGACCGACCAUAGGAAGAGAAGUCGGGCGGCCGGGGGACCAGUAAAGGAGGCUAAGAUCUUCCCAGCAACUCUAUGGAUCUGAACUCCUGGAUCCUGUUCCUUCUCUGAGCACCUCCUUCAGGAAGACUUCUUCAGUCAGCCCUACACAACUCUGAGCCCUCCACCUCACAGGAGCACCUUGUUUACAGAGGCAAGGGACAGGAUUCUGGGGAAGUCACCUAUACUAUGAAUUUCUUUAUGUAUGCCACAUUUGACUUUGGCUUACACUGUAUGAUUGGUAGUGUUGCCACAGGUCCCUGAGCCGCAAUCAGAUUAUUUAAGAGUGCAGCAAACAUUUUCAAUGUGGAAGUGGAAAGGAUUUCUUUAAAAAACAGUCAUCAUUCUUAAACAAGUCACAACGCAGCUUGGUAGCUGCCAUUGCUUCUCAGUCUGACAACUUGGAAAUCUGUUUGAGGGAAACCAGUUUGAGAAAUCUGUCUUCCUCAUUCACUGUUCUUGCCCUGUCCCUGUGGGAGCAUGCCUGUGGCCCCUCAGAAAGGUGAUCAGCUUUGGCUCCUGGGGGGACAUACCUCUUUUUCCAAAAGAGGUAGUGGCCACAUAAUUCUAAGCAAAGUUUUAAAUGAGAAAAGGAACCACAUUUAUUCAAAUAUCCUGAUAAUAGAGGGAACGAGCCACAUUUACUCACACACAACCCAGAACUUGUAGAAUUCCGUCCCCUGAUUCAUACAUUUAGGAAGAAUAAAUUUCAGUGUUGUGAGACAAUU